UUUCCUUUGUGUGAGUUCUCACUAUUUGAUACUCCCUAGGGUUAGUUCUCUGGUAGUCUAGAGUCUUGGAGUCAGUGCUCCCACUCCAAAGGCUCAGGGCUUGAUGUGGUUCUGGAGGCUGGAUGUUCACCAUCAGGGUGGCAGCAGGUCAAGUUCUGGUGAGGGAUAGCUUCCUGGUUGGAGAUAGCCCAAUAUUCCCUUUGUAACUUCAGGUGUCUGCAUCUCCUGCCCUGGUCUCACUGUCUCUCCAGGCGGCCACCAAGCUUAGCAUCCCCAGGGCAAGGAACAUGGUUGACCCAAGGUAGGAGGCUGAGAGGGUUUGCAGGGCAGGCUGGGGUAUCAUGUGAGAAGUUGCUACCAAGGAAGAAGUCUUGCUCUGCUCAAGCAACUUCUUAAGGAAGGCCUUGGCUUCCAGGUCCAGUGGGGCCCCUGGGAAGGGCAUCGGGGUACCAGGUAGGGCUCCAUAGGGGCUGAAGUGAGCUUUUUCACUCUCCUCUUUCACCCUCAUCAAGAGGCUCUUGCUCUUUUGUUCCUCCUCACUUUCUGCUGCUAGAAUGGUAUCAGCUGCAUAUCUGAGGUUGUUGAUAUUUCUCCCAGCAAUCUUGACUCCAGCCUGUGAUUCAUCCAGCCUAGCAUUUCACAUGAUGUAUUCUGCAUAUAAGUUAAAUAAACAGGAUGACAAGAUACAGCCUAGUCACACUCCUCUCCCAGUUGUGAACCUGUCCACUGUUCCAUGUUCACUUCGAACUGUUGCUUCUUGACCCAUGUACAGCUUUCUUGGGAGACAGACAGGUAAGGUAAGACAGACAGGUAAGACUACAGGUAAGGAAAUCUGGUAUUCCCUUCUCUUUAAGAAUUUUCCACAGUUUUUUGUGAUUUACACAGUCAAAGGCUUCAUCAUAGUCAACGAAGCAGAAGUAGAUAUUUUUCUGGCAUUCCCUUUCUUUCUCCAUGAUCCAUUUCCUAGAGAAGAAAAUGGUAACCUAGUCCAGUAUUCUUGCCUGAACCCCACAGACAGUAUGAAAAGGCUAAAAAUCCAUGUAAAUAUGGUCAAUUAAUUUAUAACAAAAGAGGCUAAAGUAUACAAUGAGGAAAUAGCAGUUUUUUCCAUAGUUGGUUUUGGGAAAACUGUACAGCUACAUGUAAAAAAUGAAAUUAGAGCAUUUUUUCCUCAUUAUAUACAAAAGUAAAUUUUAAAUAGACUAAAGACCAAAAUGUAAAGCAAUAAGCAUAAAACUCCUAGAUACAGGCAUAGGCAGUACAGUCUUUUAUGUAAGUUUUAGCCCUGUUUUUUUGGAUUUGUCUCCUCAAGCAAGAGAAACAAAAGCAAAAAUAAACAAAUGGAACCUUAAACUUAAAAGUUUUUGCACAGUGGAGGAAACCACCAACAAAAUGGAAGACAACAUACUAAAUGAGAGAAAAUAUUUGCAAAUGAUAUAUAUCUGAUAAGAGAUUAAUAGUAUGAAAAAUACAUAAAUAGCUCAAACAACUCAGUAUCAAAAAUACAAACCAAUUAAAAAAUAGCCAGAAGACCUGAAUAAACACUUUCCAAGGAAGACAUAAAAAUGGACAACAGGCACCUAAAAAGGUGUUUAACAUCAUGAAUUAUCAGGGAAAUGCAAAUGAAAACCACAAUGAGAUAUAACUUUGUACCUGUUGGAAUACCUAGCAUCAAAAAGACAAGAAGUGUUGGCAAGGAUGUGGUGAAAAGGGAUCCCUAGUACACUAGGAGAGGGGAUGCAAACUGGUACAGCUGCUAUGGAAAAGUGUGGAAGUUCCUCAAAAAAUUUAAAAAUAGAACUAAUACAUGAUUCAACAGUCUUAUUUCUGGGUAGUCAGCCAAAGGAAAUAAAAUCAUUAUCUUGAGGAAAUAUCUGUACCUCCAUGUCCUUAUGUUUACUGCAGCAUUAUUUGUAAUAGUCAAUAUAUGGAAACAGCGUAAGUUUCCACUUAUUGAAGGAGUAGAAUACACACACACACACACACAGGAAUAUUAUUCACCCAUAAAAAGAAGGAAAUCCUGCCAUUUGCAGCAACAUAGACAAAAAUUAUCCUUAGUGAAAUAAGCCAGGCAGAGAAAGACAAAUACUGCAUGAUAUCACUUACUGGUGGAAUGUUAAAAAAAAAAAAAAUCAGGCUUAUAGUAACAGAGUAGAAUGGUGGUACCCAGGGGCUCAGAAGUGGGGGAAAUGGGGAUACAUUGUAAUUGUCAAUUAUACCUCAAUAAAACUGAAAUAAAACUACUUUUGUUAAUAAAAUACACAUUUCUCACUGUUGGAGAAAGCAAUUACAAAUAUGGAAAGGAGGCAUGACCAUCGCCAAAGCUGGCACUCUCUGGUAUCUCUUUUUAAUCUGAAUUUUUAAAAAAAUCCCAACAUUUGGAAACAUUUUGGAUAAAUGAGAAUUCAUUGUAAAAUUAAUCAGAAUUUCGAUAGUUACAUCUUUAGGUAUACUCUGAUUCUUACUUAGAAUUAUUCUAAGACCAUAACCCAGGUGUCUAGCAGAUUUUGCUUUGCUUUAGAAUUUUCAAAGAAAAUAUCUUUAAAAAAUUCUUUCCAAUAAAAAGGAACAGUGAUUUUCAAAAUGUAUGCAUAAAACAAGAGGAAUUUUCUGUCAGAAGUAGGCACCGUCUUCGGAGCAGCCAGAAUUGUCUGGUGUUUCCACUUUAAGCCUCUUAGCUACAUUUCUGUUUCUGUAGAGCAAGAGCAGAUCCCAGAAAAGUAAUUUUUCUUCCUUUGUAGAAACUUCUUUAUCUAGCAGAAAAUGGUAACUCAUCAAACCUGCAGUAGAAGGCAACUCUUCACCUCUCAGUCAAUAUGAUCAACAUUAAGCAUCCAUCAAAUGAAGGAUUGGGAGUGAUAACCUUAAAAAAUCCUGCUAGGCAACUGGUUAUUGAUUCUCUGUUCAGCCUGAUGGAUGAAUGUGCAAAGGCAACAAGUGAUUGGAGAAAACACAAACCUGCCUGCCUGCCUGCAUUGGGCUGGUUCAGGCAGGAAUUCUGGCCAGAAAGCAUCAUCUCCGGUUUUACCAAAAACGUAAUUCCUUCAUCCUGAUUCAUCAGAAUUCGAUUCUAGCAGGAUAUCUACUCUUCCUUGCCUUGCCUUUGGAUUUUCAGAAAAGCCCAGGGAACAAUUUACAAUAAAACAUAAUUACUUUUAGCCUGGCUGUUUAUAUGCUUGGGACUAUUUGAAGGAUGAAGUUUGUGAUUUAUACCAAGAAAAAAAAAUUGGCAUGUUUAAUAGUAUGAAGGGGCUUGGCAAAAGGGCUUAAUUUAUUUUUGAGAUUAAAUUCUUUUCAGGGGCUUUAGAAACAUUGAUUCAUAUGAAAAUAAUAAAUGUGCUAAUUACAGCUUAAUUGUUUCACCUCAUUAAGGCAAUACCACAAGACCUCUCAUUAGCCACAUCAACUUCACGGGUGAAAAUGAUUAUAGCUCUUGUGCAAAGACUCCUGGAGUCAAUCAGCUGUCAUCAGGCUGAGCUACUCUUGACCAGAAUCAGAGAGUUAACGAUCUUUCUGGCAGCAUCCUUCUCCCAUCUCCACAGGUGUUCAGUGCCCUUAGGUCUUCUGCAGUAACAUUUCUAAAGCUCUCCUUGCCCAGUUACCUUAAGAAGGAUCGAGUAUUAAGUGGGGCUUUAUUACAGCACUUGUAACUUUCUGUUACAAUGAUUUAUUCAGGAUUGUCUUCUUACUAGACUAUAACUUCUAGUCAAUAAAUUUUCAUUGAAUAAAUUAAUGUGUGACUGAUGAAAGUUAUAAAUGACCAACAUUGGGACUUCCCUGGUGGUCCAGUGGUUAAGAAUCUGCCUUGCAAAGCAGGGGACAUGGGUUUGAUCCCUGGCUGGGGAACUAAGAUCCCACAUGCUGCAACUAAACCUGCACACCAUGACCACUGAGCCCGAGUGCUCUAAAGCCCACGUGCCACAACUCAAGAUGCCGCGUGCUACAAACUAAGACCCGACACAGCCAAAUAAGUAUAAUUUUAUUUUAAAUGAGCAGUACUGUUUUGCCCAUUUCAAAGUAAUUAAAAUGUAAUGAAGUAGAUCGUAAGCUCCUGACGGACAAAAAAUAGAUCUUAUUGAAAUUGGGUUCUGGAGGAUAACACAAUGGCUGGCACAAAAUGGUUGCUAAAAGAUAAUAAAGAGAAAAAUGAUGACAAUCUCUUAACCUCAAAAGAGCAAGCUCUGAUGGGAGAGUUCUGAACUUGGACAAGAACAGAUUUAGAUGAGAGUCUUUCCAGGUACCACCUGGAGUUACAUGUCUCCCACUGGGAUCCCCAAAGGGGAAUUACCUGUAUGAAUAAAUCCCUUUGACUCAGACCCAGCCUAACUACAGCAAACAGCUGCCCAACAGUCAUGAACUGGCUGUCACUGGACGUGUCCAGGGAGAGUCAAGAUGUGUCGAAGUCACUGGUCAGGGGUCCCUCCAUUCAGAGGAUUAUGUGAGCAUGAAGGCUCCAUGGAUCAUGUUCUCAUUUACUGCAUUAUUCACAGACUGACAACAGAGGACUAUCAUUAUCAUCCAAUGAGGGUUCAGCAUUACCAAAGAAGCAAUAAGAAUGUUUUCCAGCUCAGAGCAUGUAAUUCUUAUCACAGCAGAGUGGGAUACCCAAGCACAUAAAUCAAUUCCUAUCUUAAUUAGUCAGUGUCUGCUGAACACCUUGAAAUUGAAAAGAGACAUAUAACAAAAGUUAUGUAACAAGCUUCCAGCUGCAGCCUGUCCCCUGCCGGCCCCUGAAAAUCCUUUUAGUAACUGUAUUCUGAUGGUUCUGGAGAAGGCAAUGGCACUCCACUCCAGUACUCUUGCCUGGAAAAUCCCAUGGACGGAGGAGCCUGGUAGGCUGCAGUCCAUGGGGUCUCUAAGAGUCGGACACGACUGAGCGAUCUGUCUCCGAAACUGUGAACAGACAGAUGAAGUUUUGGAAAUGGAAGUAAACUUCAUGACUCACUCUUGUUCCUGUUGAACGCUGACAUGGAGAUGAAGGAAUAAAGGAAUAAAUACAGAAACAGGUGAUGAAGGAAAAUCAGAAGACUGAUGUCUUGUGGGUGGGGGAAAGGAAUUAGUCCUCCUGUCUUCCCUCCUUUGUAAACUUCAUGCUUUGACAGCGGGCAUGAAGUCUUCCUCAAAACCUUAAGACUUAGCAACAUAUCUGGAAGAUUUGGGGAAGGGGCUUUGUGUGCAGAGAGGAACAGUGUUCAUGUUAAGAAUAUUUCAAAUUCUGACAUUUGUACUUCAUCAGCAAGAAGAAAUUUGCUUAUGUGAUUGUGAAAAUACUGUAGGAGGCACCCCAUGGAGCGGGGUACGGGCUCAGGUGUGUCCCUGGGAAACUCAUGCCACAGAGAGAAAGAGAAACGCAUGCAGGAGCAAGAGAGCAAGGAGAGCACAAGCUAAUGAAAACAAAUGAUGAAGGAAGAGGAGUUUGUGCAGAAGGGGGAGAAGAGCGGGAAAAGACAUGGAUGUAAUUCCUUCUCUCUCUCUCUCUCUCUCUGCCUCUGAAUGCUCAGCGACCUUCAUUCACUAUACCCACCCCCCACCCAAUCCCACCCAUCCCCGCACCAACAGAUGCCCCUCCAAGGUCAGGCCCCAAUCCUGUCCCCCUUUUCUCUCACACCCACAUCUCAUCCAUCGAUCUCGUUGCUCAAAACCCUUCAGUGACUUCUCUCCUUGAGAAUCAGGUCUAAACCCCGUGUGACUUGGCCCCUGGGUGCUUGUCUGUCCUCGUCUCCCACUAUGCUCUCAGCCUCCCAGGUCCUGCUCGCCCCUGCCGAAAUGUUCUCCACACAGAGUCCUGUGGCACACUCCCCAGCGUGACUCAGGUCCCUGCUCAAAUGUCCUCGCUUAGAGAGACAUUACUGACUCAUAAAAGGGCAGCUCCUCUCUCCUCCACCCCAUCACCACUUAGCCUGCUAACCAGAUUUCGGCUAACACACAUCGCUACCUGAUAUUCUAGUCCACAUAGAUUCAGUCUGUCUCCUGUACUAGAGCAUCAGCUACCCAAGGGCAGGGAUGCUUUGCCUGCUGUUGUACCUUCCACACCUCCAUCGUAUUGGGCACCCGACCAGUGUCCUAUCAAUGCAUUUUGAGUGGAUGUGUGAAUGAAUCACUGCAGUAUGCACGGCUGCUUCUCUUUUCCUCGGGUUUUAUGUCUGAACAUCUGCGUGUCACUCUCUUCCCUCUUGUGCCCCACACAAUGCCUCCCACUUGGGGAGGUCCAAAUGCCCAGGAAGAAAAGCACCUGUUGUCUUAGAGGCUCCUUCUGUGUGCCAGCCACUGAGAACGGCCUUUUGAACUGCUAGCAGUUUCCUAAUAAUUACUUGGUUAAUGAACACGUGUGCUGCUGCUCAGUCACUCAGUUGUGACUCUAGUAUUUCCCGGGUAAGAACACUGGAGAGGGUUGCCAUUUUCUUCUCGGGGAUCUUCCUGACCAAGGGAUCGAACCUUCAUCCCCUGCAUUGCAGGCAGAUUCUUUACCACUGAGCCUUUGGGGAAGCCCGUAACCAUGUCUUCUGGCUGCUUUUAUUAUGAAGUGAGACUGGGUGAUGGGCAGCUAGUUCUUGGGGCUGCAUUGAGGGGAAAGCUUCUAUUAAGAACUGUGAUACCCAGGACUCCUGAAGACCCAUCUGUCCGUCACACUGUUCACUUUGGUUUCGAAUCUAAAGAACCGUUUCUUUACAGUGAACAUUUCAUAGUUAAAGACUCGCCUCCUCAACCUAAAAAGGCUUUGGGUUGGUGGGUUUCCUCUUGCGAGGGGUUUCCUCAUCCCAGGUAGGAAGAGUACCAGCUGGAUGAUGUCCAGGUUCACAGAGCCUCCCCACUGGCACACCCCGGCUCAGGAUUCAGUAGCCCUUCACCACUCUGCCACUUCAGUUUCAGCACUGACGAUUUCUCGCUGACAAACCAGUCCCUUGCAUGAGAAUCUAAUGUGGCUGAUAGACCAGGACGGGCCUUGGUUGAUUGGACGGUGGGUGGCAGCAGGUGUGCAGAGCUGAUACUGACUUUCAUUAGCUCUCCUCCAGGCUGUGAAACCCCAUGACUUGAAGCUAGUGACACCAAAAUGCUUUGAGAAUCUCCAAAUCCACCCAAUCCCUUCUUGAAAGCACAAGAGGGGCCACUGUAACCAUCUCCGGUGUGUGUGUGUGUGUUCUGAAGUUGUUUUGUUGAAAUGGUGACCUUGGUGCUGAAUGGUACCACUCUACUGCUCCCACAGUCCCCGAGUCCUCUGAUCAUGAGGCAUUUUGUGUACACACUGGAGAAUUUAUACUCACAAUGCAACUUGGUGGUGUGGGGGGAAAAAUAAUUAAAUGUCCAUCCCGGCUUGUUGAUCAUUUAGUUUUGCCCAGUGCCUCUUGACUAAAAAUGCUCAUGCUCUCAGAUGUAUUUUCUGCCCCCUUCUUUCUCUAAGACAGUAUAUGGAGCGGGUGAGGCGUACAUGCCUCUCAUGUGGGAGGGUUUUGGGGGUGCUUAGCAGUGUUCUCUUCUUUGGGGGGUGACGUUUCUUGUCCAUCUGGGAGCUGCUGCUGUUUGCAGCUGAAAUCUAACUUGUGAAUCGGUCUCUAUCUGCUUAGCGCCCAGUCUGGACAUAUCCCUUCUGAAGCUUGGCUGUGCCUCCCGCUGGCCUGGACAUCGAGAUAACCUUUCAGAGCCUCCUCAUCCCUGCUAUUGGGACCUCCACUGCUCACCCCUCUCCCUAAAGGUGCUGUCAGCCGUGGGGGUCUCGUAUAUUGAAGAGGAAUAAAAUAUACCACCCCAAAUGUGUCUCUUUGGCAUAAAGAUUAACUUGAGCUGG